AUUGAACGCUGGCGGCAGGCUUAACACAUGCAAGUCGAGCGAGCGGCGGACGGGUGAGUAAUGUCUGGGAAACUGCCUGAAGGAGGGGGCUAACUACUGGAAACGGUAGCUAAUACCGCAUACCAUCAGAUGUGCCCAGAUGGGAUUAGCUAGGAGGUGGGUUAAUGGCCCACCUAGGCGACGAUCCCUAGCUGGUCUUAGAGGAUGACCAGCCACACUGGAACUGAAACACGGUCCAUACUCCUCCGGGAGGCAGCAGUUGGUAAUAUUGCACAAUUGGCGCAAUCCUGAUGCAGCCAUGCCGCGUGUGUGAAGAAGGCCUUCGGUUUGUAAAUCACUUUCAUCGAGGAGGCGUUACUCGCAGAAGAAGCACCGGCUAACUACGUGCCAGCCGCCGCGGUAAUAC
rnacentral:rRNA from 1 species